UGCAGCGAUGUCGUCUGCUUCAUGGGUAGCAUUGCACCGACGCUGCAUCUCCUUCUCCUCAUGCAAGCACCACGUCUUCCCUUUCUGAUAAAGCAAACCCACUUCUCAUGGGUUUCUGAUUUUUGGGAGGACAUCACAGCAUCCUGUUGCAGCAGUACAAUCCGUGUCAGUGAAACUCCACCCCGAGGUUGCAGCCUCGUGUGAUGAGGUCAGACACAAUGUGAAGACAACGUAGCUUUCGGUGCGAGAUUGCAGUAGUGUCUGCCGUUUUCUGGACAACAUUGGAGGUAGAACUUGGAUCCCAUCGUAAUGUUGCGUGCUGCUGUUCUUCUGGAUGGUUGUGCCGCCCUUGUGUGGGUACCUUUAUCGUGCUGGAAGAAGGUAAUGUGCAGGUAUGUUUAGUAUUUAGAGGUGUAGAAGUCGUUACACUGUUUUCCUUUUGAAGAUUAUUUUAUUUUAUUUUAUUUUUAUCUGUUACGUGCCUGGGUUCUAAAUGACUCGUUAGUUUUUCUUUUAGGGCUUAGGUUCGUUUUAAUCUGCGACGUAUGUGGGUGUUUGAAAUUGCCGGUAGCUACGGAUCAAGAUGACGAGUCUGGGCUUAUGACGCAAGCCUGGCACUGUUAAAGCGACAGCGCGAUGUCUUGUGUUGUUUUUUUCAGCGAAAGUGCUGGAAUUUGCCAACCGCUGCUUUGCCAGUUUUUUCUGAGCUUAUGAAGCAAAGGCGAGGCAUUAGCCUGAGAGAAUCAGACCCUUUGCUCCUGUGUGUACUUGUCAGUACGUUUUUGCCCGUAUGAUGAGAUAUUCCUUCACGACGGUCAUUAGAGCUUCGGCUGUGCUGUUACCAAUGUGGAAUCACUAUCUGACGGGUCUGGGAAAAGAAUUUCUUUGGAUUGUGCGACAAAGCCUAAUGAUGUGUAUAUAAUCUUUGAGACCUGAUUGCCGUAAAGAAUUGUUGACAGAAAGCUGAUCCUGGAAGUUUUUCCUUUUACAUUAGCUUUGUCCAUGCAAGUCGUGUUCAGAUAUAGUGUGUUGAACGUGGUUUCCAGCCUUCAGCCAUGAUUUACCGUACCAUCAAAGCUCGAAAUAGGUGAUAACAUUAGCAUGACUGAAAGCUAAGCGCUGUGAUUGCUUUUAUAAUUUUGACAGUUGUUAACCCUGGCCUGUUGCUAUACGCACAUUGAACAAACUUACAUUGAAGAAGUGCUAGCUGCUUUUCCCCUACGUUGGCUUGAUUGCUUAGUUUCAACCUUACAGUGGUAGUUAUUUUCCUCAUCUAUAAAAGUACCUAAGUUGAUUUUCAGUGUAUGUAUAAGGUUUCUGGUGUUUUAUUUUAUAUCUGCCUUGUUCAUCUCUUGGCAAAGAGACAACGCUCAUUUUAGGGCGCCGUAGAACUUGGCUCUGUGUAAGUGGACAAAGAAAUCAAUUUUCUUCAGACCUCAAUCUACAGGAACGACAAGGACAACCAUUCGCCGCGGCUGACUCUUCCACAUUCCAUCUCAGGUAUCCUUGAUGAUAAUGAGACCAUUGGUCCCUGUUAAUUUGAUUAAGAUAGAUACGUCGUUUCAUAUCAUCUAAAUGAUACGUAAGGUAUUUCCAUGAUGCAAUAGCUCAGGUUAGGUUCUGAACAGAACUCUAAAUGUCGAUGAACACAUUAAGCGGUACUGUUUUUCAGCAUGUUCGUAAUUUCUGGUUGAAUUAGAUGCAGUGAUUUGUAAUUCAAUGUACAAUGCGUACGUAUGACGUGGAGGAUAUGUGGUAAACGCAUGACUUUUAGUCAACAUAGAGUUUUUGUGGUGAGAGGGCUUCAUUACCUCAGUUGGUCAAGGGUUGCUGUUUCCGCUUCAAGAGGGGAACAGGACUUGAGGGAUGGCGGGUCAAGCCAGUGCAGAGAUGGAGAGAUCCUCUCAGCUCCAUAAUGAAAUAGAGUUCAUUAUCAGUAACAUCCGUUUUCUGCUGUACUCAAAUGUAACUUUGGUGAACCAUAAACAGUUGAAGUUGGCUUCAACGGAACCCUUCUCCGUAUUGCUGUAUUCGGUGUUGAGCGAGGUCUCCAAAACUGAUGUGCACUUACAACAUGGUCUUCUUGAUUUAAUGCCACAUCACAUUAUUCCAGGUCAUCUUGCAGUUGACGGAGUAUAUGCCACCGCGGGUUUUGUCACAGAUGUCGACCAGGUUGGACAAACAGACAUAAUGGCCUACCUCGACGUGACUGAUGUUUGCAGUUCUUUUGAUGACCUGCUUAGUGGUCAAGCGAUCUACUCUUUGCUCACAGAAUCAAGUCCUUGAUAUUCUAUGCAACGCUGACUCUAGCAGCUUUUGAGGUUUGUUAGGUGGCUGAUCCUUCUUUAGGUACCUUCAAAUUUAAGAAUCAUUCAACUCCCUUGAACGUUGCCAGCAAGCGUCUUCAUGGCAGACUGCUGCAGGUUACUUACAGCAUCGCAUGCAGUCAAUCGGUCGAGUAUUCGAUUCUUGAAUCCAUUGAUCUUUCAAGGUUGUGGACUUGUGGGGCUUUUGUUAUUUAUGUUUGCUCUCGACUUUCUUAGUGGGGUUUCCAGGUUUUUAGUGGUGUGAGCUUCAAGCUGACAGGCUCAGGGUUGUGAAAGGAGUUGGAAUUGACCACUGAUCUGCACAAGCUGUUGCUCAACCUAGGUUAACUCCUUGCUAAGGUGGAGUAUGUGACUGGUUGCCAUCUCGGAGACAAUGUGAUAGAGACCACCUGAUGGGCGACCUUACGCAGUGAUGGAGGGGCGGAUGCUUGACGGCGACGGUUACGCUUGCAUUGUUGUGCCAGUAGAUGGGCAAUGGCGACGGUGUUCUGAAAUGAGUGAGAGAUUGAGGUUGUGAGCUUUCGUGUUUUAACAGAACGAGGUGGUGAAGAGGGUUAGUGAUUUUUACAGGAUAAUUAUUUUCCUCUAUUUUAUUGGUAAAUGUGUAUGGGGAUGAGUUUUGUCAAAGUUCAAAUAUAUGUGAAGGGAUGGUUCAGUUUGGAAAACUUUGGUAGCAUGUAGGGAUGUAGAUUCUCAAGUUCAUUGCAACUUUCUUAAAGAUAUCUGCAGAGGCAGAUUUAUCAGAUCUCACAACGUCAAACCGACAAGAAAAAACUGAUGCAGCUAAAUCAAUCAAGUUGGUGCAAUAACCGACCUCCUGAGAAGGAUGACUGCACUAGUUACAAUUGGUGAAGAAUGGGAGGAUGAUGUUGUCUUCUACACGAAAGUGCGAGUACAACUCGUGACGAAUGUGGGUCCUGAAGUGGGUUUGAGGUUUCAGAGCAGUGUUUGAAAAUGCACAGUGCCACUGAAGGAGCAGGGCGAGUCCUCACCAAAGGAGGGGAGAGGAGAGAGGAGCGAGGUAAUCGAUGCCACUGCCUGGGAACAAAGCAAGAGGAGGAGGAGGAAGUGAGAGUGGACAGAAGCUCUGGCAGGCAGCAUGGGGCUUCCAACCACAUGGGCAGCGUGGUGGGCAGGGUGCCAGGAACACAGAGUGAGAGAGGGGGUAGAGUGGGCAUCUCCCCCAGCGUGGAGCAAGAGGACAAAUCCAACGCACACUUCCCGAGAGAGCACCAUGUGCUGCUGCUGCUGCGUGCAUUAUAGUUGCAGCACCACCAGAGCUGGUGUGCCGUGAAUUGGCCUUGCUUGCAUACCUCAUCUCACCCCACCUCCCUCCCUCCCUCCCUCCCACCCUCCCAAAGUAGUAGUCUGCAGCAUGACCCAGAUGAUGACCUCCAGCAACAGGAAAACAACAUCAAUUCGGAGUGGGUCGAAGUUGGUACUGCCAGAUGAUGAAGCUUCUGUUCUGUCUUUCGAAAGUUAAUGAAAGUAAAAAAAGGAAGGAAGGAAAAGGGGCAAGAGAUGCGUGUGACAGACACUGUGACCUGACAGACAGCCCGAAGACUCAAUCUCACACACACACACAGCUAUAGAUAGAUAGAUAGAUUAGAUUAAAGAAUGGGGGCCAUGCAUGAUAUCCUUCCACUGGUGCCACUACUAGAAGUACUGGUGUGGGCCAGUUCCCAUAUUCAUGCAUCCUUCUUCAUACUCAUCCAUCUAUUGAGGGUAAUUCUUAGCAUCAUAUUAAUAAUAAUAUUAUUAUUAGUAGUUGCAGUAAUUUAUUCUUCGGAA